rnacentral:tRNA from 1 species
CCUGUAGCUCAGAUGGUAAAGCAUCUGCCUACAAUGCAGGAGACCUGGGUUCAAUCCCUGGGUCAGGA